GGCAUUUUAAAAUGAAGCAGUAGCCUUAGACAUGGAUGUUUAUACACAGAGCUCACCAGAAUAUCGUCUCUGUGCUGCCCAGAUGAUGUCUGUGUAGGGGGCUGCAAGACCCCAAGUUCCUCUGCUGACCAGAGGAACCGGAGCACUUUAAUGUGGAAAUUGGAAGCCUAGGAACUUUGUGUUUAAAGUAGAACUGCUGGAAGUGGCCAAGUCCACAGCGGAUUUCCAGAAUGCCCUGAGAGAAAAUGCUGACCCGACAACUGGCAAAUGCGUCCUGAGUGCCUCCUCCCCAGGAGGCGCUAGUUUAGCAGAAAUUUGGAGCUGGGCUGGGCAGUGAUAUGGAAAGAAGUAUGCAGUCUAAGUAGGAGGGUCAUCGGUAUCUAGAAAGCUAAAAGCACAAGCAGAACUAGUGUUCAUUACCCAGCAGAAGUACCGUUCAUUACCCAGCAGAAGUACUGCCCAUUACUCAGCAGAAGUACUGUCCACUACCCAGCAGAAGUACUGUCCACUACCCAGCAGAAGGCAGACCGUCGCCGACACUUUUGAAGUCUCUGUGCCCCCUUCUGAAUUGCAUCCCCAUGAC
rnacentral:lncRNA from 13 species